UGUAAAACUGUCUUCUAGCCAUAACGUCUCGAGCCGCAGUCGAGUGAACUGUCGAACUGUUCGACAGGAGUCCUUCUGCAAUCCUAAAGUGCUUUUAAAAAAAAAAUUGUGAUCUAAAAAAAGAAGACUCCUACCUGAGGAUUUCUUUAUCGCGAGAAGUUGUGUCAAACAUUAGCUAUCGAAUUCUUUUACCUUCCUGCAUAAGAAACCCAUAGUAUCUGUAGCCGUCAAUAGGCAUCGAUAUCGUUAGCUGAAGGGGUUGUUGGAGACAUAUUACAUACACAUCCAUCUAUUCCAACUGUUAGUGUGGAAAAGCAGCUUGUACCCGAUGAGUAUUCGAUUGGCAAGUGGCCAUAUGGUGAAGCAAAGGAGAUUUAUCGGGAACACCAAUAAUAAAAUGAUCAAUAUACGAGAACGUUUAUAAAUAUUUUAGAGAGAUCAUUUUUAAUAGGAUUCUAAAUGCAGAAAACGUUGCUCUCUCUACACGAGCUAGGUGCGAAAGUGGAUUUAUAUUCUCCUGAACGGGAUUUAUCGAGAAUUUUACGGAGCAAGGGUUCAUGUUGCGGUCGCAAGACGUCUUGUCACGUGUUGUAAAGAGAGUUACAGGUUCGACAACGGAUCAUCGAAAUAUUUUGACAGGUUUCUAUAUGAGCAAGGAGACCAAAAGUGUUUGGGAUUUGUGAUUCGAUAUUUCUUUUUCAUAUUUAAUCCAGAUUUAUAGAGGGAUUUUUUAAUUUUUUAUUACGGUAAGUAAAACAC